rnacentral:rRNA from 1 species
ACCUGCGGAAGGAUCAUUAUCGUAAAACAGAGGUGCGAGGGCUGUCGCUGACUUUUUAAGUCGUGCACGCCCGAGCGCUCUCACACAAUCCACGUCACCCCUAUGUGCACCACCGCGUGGGUCCCCCCCUUGAAAGGGGGGCUCGCGUUUUCACACAAACUUGAAGUAGUGUAGAAUGUCUUUUUUUGCGAUGACACGCAAUCAAUACAACUUUCAACAACGGAUCUCUUGGCUCUCGCAUCGAUGAAGAACGCAGCGAAAUGCGAUACGUAAUGUGAAUUGCAGAAUUCAGUGAAUCAUCGAAUCUUUGAACGCACCUUGCGCCCCUUGGCAUUCCGAGGGGCACACCCGUUUGAGUGUCGUGAAAUUCUCAAAACCCCUUCCUUUGCCGGAACGGAUUUUGGACUUGGAGGCCUUUUGCUGGUUUCACCUCGAAGCCAGCUCCUCCUAAAUGGAUUAGUGGGGUCUGCUUUGCCGAUCCUUGACGUGAUAAGAUGCUUCUACGUCUCGGGUUUUGGCACUGUGCCUCUGCUUCUAACCGUCUCAUCGACAAGGAUGGUGUUCCGGUCACCGCCGAUUCCUCGGUGGGAGGCUUGACCCACAAAACGACCUUGACCUCAAAUCGGGUGAGACUACCCGCUGAACUUA